AGGAGGACGGGGUGCUGGCUCAGUCCGUGCCAGCCCCUCUUGGCCACUCUGCUCUCUCUCGGCGGCGCUUCUCCAGGGGAAUCCGGCGGCCGGAGCCCUUCCUGCCCCUCCUCCCGCUAUCCCUCGGGGGAUGGCAGGGCCUUUCCUCCCCCUUUUCCCCUCACGCCUUCCCGCCCGGGGCUGAGGGCCUGGCUGUACCCGGCUGCGGCCUGGCCGUGGCACCGUGCGGGCCCCGCCGGCCCCGGCCCGGACACCGCGCCACACGGAGGCCACGGACGGGCGGGACGCAGCGAGCGGGCACGGCGGGAAUCGGCUGCUGCCCCGGCUGGUUUCCUUCCGAUUCCCUCUGAUUCCUUCUGAUUCCUUCUGAUUCCCUCUGAUUCCUUCUGAUUCCCUCUGAUUCCCUCCUCUGAUUUCCUGCUGUGCUUCCUCCUCCUUCUGAUGGAGGAGCUCAGCGGGCUCGGCAGCUCUGAAGCCUGCGUGCGUUGCUGUAAUUGAUUUGUGACCAAAGUGACACGGUGAAAAGUCGAGUUACAGAGGUCUCAGUUCUGAUUUGAUUGACUACAGAAGUGCAGGAUCAGUAACAGAGAAUCAGUAAACACAGGCAGAGGAAUUUUUAACACCAUUAACACUUCCAGGCAGUUAACUGGUUUCAGAAAUAAAUACAAAAAUUCAGAGGAUGUCAAAACCAGCAUGAAGAUCCACACACUGAUCUUACGAAAUACAGGUUUCCAGGAAUGAGAAGAACAGCUGGAGAAACUGAAUGCUAUGCUUCAUUGGUGGGGGGAAAUUCUCUGUGCUGCAAUAUUAGUACUCACUGCCUGCUGCGGUCACCAAGCACUGUCAUCAAGGAGCUUUCAAGGGGCUGGAAAAUUCUUGUGAAAUAUUACCCUGUUGCCUGAAUCCGUACUGCUCCUGACUGUCUGCCAGCUCCCAGAUUAAAUAGACUGUAAUCACAUCACAAUUAAUGGUCCUGACACAACCAGCGAAUUCCAGCCUAAAUGAGGUCCAUAGUAAAGUCAUUGUCUCUAUGUAAUUGCUGAACUUGGCACCAAAGCACAGACUAAAGGUCAACAGCAUCUGCUGAUUUUGGAUGGUACAAACCAUGACUGCCCUGCUAUUUUUUGUUUUCCUGAGAACUUGGCAUUAUACUGAGCUUUACCACAUGGCAACACAGGUCCUCCUGUCUCCAGCUCCAGCUUUGAACAUGCAGCUUUUCAUCAGCCCAAUCCCAGGUUAGGCUGGAGGACCAGAAGUGUGACCUGAAGUCCCAGCUCUUCACCUAGCAGUGCUCAGCUCUGGAAAUGCUGUAACCUUGGCGCCUGACAUUGCACUGCCUGGCAGCACCUUCAUCUGCAGCCUCAGCACAGCACACAGCCAACAUGCUGAGCAGGACAGCAGGCCCUUGGCAUUUUCUGCCCUCCUGACAUUCAUCCUGAAGUAGAUCCAGCUGUGGAGGAGAUACAGCUGGAAGAUGAGCAUGCAGGGGUAGAGGCAGUGGUGCAAGUUUGGGGCACAGAGCAGGGAGGUGCAGUCACUCCAGGUGUGUGAGCUCCCUUCUGGCAGCAGGUAUGCAAUGCUGGUCAUGCUUGUUUAGUACAAUAAUGUGCUCUGAGCACAUGCAUGUGUGCAGGACUUCACUGCAUUAGCUCAUAAGAAGUGGGAGUUCCUCACCUCCCACUACCUGCAGGCAGCUGGUAAGGCUCAGAAAUGCCUCCAUCAGUUCUAAGCCCCUGACAGCCAGGAUCUGUGGAUCCUGCUGCUGACUCCCCAGUCCCCAUAGGCCUGCUUGUUUCUCUGCUGAAUUUUGGAUUGCAGCAUAUAAGCUAAGGCACCAUGGCCACCAUCAACCUCUUUUUCAAACUGCAGGGUCUUCUUCACCCCCACCAGGCCACUCCUAGGGUUCUUCUGCCUCACUGGCUUCUCAGCUGGGAAAGCUUUAGGCUUUAGCUCUCCAUUAUACCCUUUGUCCUUUCUAAAGUUUAAGGCCUGUGCCAAAUGACAAAAACUUAAUAAUGGUGAACAACAAAACACAACAAAACAGGACACACACACACAAAAGAAAAAAAGGUAACAUGAGCAACUAACAAUGGAAAGUUACCUCCCACCACCUGGGAAAUGGCUCACCUACCUUGGCUGAGGAAGGACCAAGGCAGAAGCUGAGCACUGACAGCACAACAGAGUGCUCUGGGUCUUGCCAAGAAACAAAAUACCUUGAAAUGAGAACAGCUCAGACACCUUAAGACUAUGCAGCACUACAAUAUUUUCUGUACUGUUUGCCACCACUAACUUGACAUCAUCCAUAACAACUGUACUCAACAGGAUCACUCAUUAAUUAUGUCCAGCUUUGAAGAUAACUGUGCCUAGUUCUUUGAAGAUCACGCUGUAACCCACAUGAGUGGACACCUACAGAUUAACCCAGCCAGAGGAACUUCUCUUCCUCCUUCCCAUGCUUCUUCAUGGGUGGGGCAAGCCUUUGUGAGACACCCUUGGCAAGCAAGAGAUGAAAACACAGCCCCCAUAGAACAACCCAAAGUUUAGCACAACUUGGCUUUGGCUUCUGAACUCACUGUUCCUGCAGCAAAGUUAACAGGUCAGUCUCUCCCCUCCCUUCAAAUACUUCAUCUGUGUGACACAGCAUUUUCAUUUGUUUUUCCACCCAACACCCAUCAGCCAUUUUUCUUCAGCGAGAAGGUAAACACCCUGUUUUGUUUUCCCAUCUGUAUUUAAACUGUGAAUGGAGUGAAGCAACAGGCUGGGAAGCAGAAAGAGGAAAGCAGCCUGAGACGAAGCGAUACAAGCACUGAUUGCAACCAGGCUUUUCAGAUGUAUGAAAAAAUAACUCCCUCCCCCAAGGAGAUACUUUGGAAGCUGAAAGCUAAGAACUUAAGUACAAAGGCUUUUGUUUUUAUUGACAUUGUAAGAAACAUUUUUUCUUUGUUACAAAAAAGCUAAGUGGUUCUGAAAGCAGAAGUACAGUUCAUAUGUACACAGUGCUACAGACCCUUCAGAUCAACCUAAGGCUUGAGAAACAUCAGAUCAUAACUGCAGGUUUAUCAAAUAAAGACCACUAAGGUCUGUUACAGCUGAACACUAUUCCUACCGUACAUAAAUGUAUUUACAUGUUCUCUUUUUUUGUU